GUGGGGUCCGCCUGCUGCUGCCCUGCAGUCCUGCCUAGCCCAUGGAGGGUGCCUUGGAGCAGUGCUGCUGCUGACCAGGCCCGAGAGCCAGCCAGGCCCCUGCGGUGAUUUGGAGGCAGAGCCCGACGCCCGUGAUGGUGGGAGCCAUUCCUCGGCAGCCGCGCCGCUUCUGGGGGGUGCCCGGAUGGCAGGUGUCUCCAGCUAGCUGUGCCAACGACCGUCUGCUGCUGGGGCAGGAGAGCUGCUCGGCGAGGGGUGGGUGAUGCGGCGCUGCAGUGCACUCCAUAGCGGAGGGCUUGUCCGGAGGGAAGGGGUCUGACACACCACCCCCUUUCUUCAGCC